GACGAACGCUGGCGGCGUGCUUAACACAUGCAAGUCGAACGCUGAAGCCCUUUCGGGGGUGGAUGAGUGGCGAACGGGUGAGUAACACGUGGGUAAUCUGCCCGGUACUGCGGGAUAAGCCUUGGAAACGGGGUCUAAUACCGGAUAGGACCUGUCCUCGCAUGGGGGUGGGUGGAAAGUUCCGGCGGUCUGGCAUGAGCCCGCGGCCUAUCAGCUUGUUGGUGGGGUAGUGGCCUACCAAGGCGACGGCGGGUGGCCGGCCUGAGCGGGUGAGCGGUCACACUGGGGCUGAGACACGGCCCAGACUCCUACGGGAGGCAGCAGUGGGGAAUCUUGCGCAAGGGGCGAAAGCCUGACGCAGCAACGCCGCGUGGGGGAUGACGGCCUUCGGGUUGUAAACCUCUUUCGACAUCGACGAAGGGGCCCUGUUGUGGGGUUUUGACGGUAGGUGUAGAAGAAGCACCGGCUAACUACGUGCCAGCCGCCGCAGUAA
rnacentral:rRNA from 1 species